ensembl:tRNA
GCCUGCUUAGUAUAGUGGUUAGUACUCCACGUUGUGGCCGUGGCGACGCUGGUUAGAUUCCAGCAGCAGGCA